CAGUACCUUUGGACCCGGAGACAAACCCCCAGUCUACUAUCCUCCCCCCAGGAUAGGAUGUACACUACACACCCUCAAACUAAACCUGUUGUUUGGCCCUUCUAAUUUCAGAUGUGAAUCUGAGGGACUGAAACUGAUGAAACCUGGAACUGAUUCAACUGAUUCUGAAUGUGGAGAACAUGGUUCAGAGAGAGGACAUGUGGCAGGAAUAAUAUCAGGAGUCAUACUGGUAAUGGCUUUAAUAAUCAUAAUAGCAUUGCUUUAUAGAAGUCUUUCGAAGUACCUACUAGUGACGGUCCUGAACCAACCAGGGACCAACAAGAGCAUACCAUAACGAUCCCUUCUGCCACUAUGCAUGAUGAUCAAGACGAUGACCAGAGUCUGGGUGCAGCCCCUCACUCAAGCCUCACACAUAAUGGAUCUGAGUCAGUCUCAGUCCAUCAGGAGGACCAUCAGCCUGUCCUCAUCAAGAGAGACAAUGGAGCCUCCCAGUCAAUCCCCCUCAGUCUGGGUCCCCCUUCCCCCUCCCAGUCCCCCCCCCUCAGUCUGGGUCCCCCCUCCCCUCCCAGUCCACCCUCCUCAGUCUGGGUCCCCCUCCCCCCCGGUCCACCCUCCUCAGUCUGGGUCCCCCUCCCCUCCC
ensembl:lncRNA